rnacentral:rRNA from 1 species
CCUACGGGAGGCUGCAGUGGGGGAUAUUGCACAAUGGGGGAAACCCUGAUGCAGCGACGCCGCGUGUGGGAAGACGGUCUUCUGGAUUGUAAACCACUGUCCCCAGGGACGAAAAUGACUGUACCUGGGGAGGAAGCUCCGGCUAACUACGUGCCAGCAGCCGCGGUAAUACGUAGGGAGCAAGCGUUGUCCGGAAUUACUGGGUGUAAAGGGAGCGUAGGCGGGGAUGCAAGUUGGGUGUCAAAACUACCGGCUCAACCGAUAGUCGCACUCAAAACUGCAACUCUUGAGUGAAGUAGAGGCAGGCGGAAUUCCUAGUGUAGCGGUGAAAUGCGUAGAUAUUAGGAGGAACACCAGUGGCGAAGGCGGCCUGCUGGGCUUUUACUGACGCUGAGGCUCGAAAGUGUGGGGAGCAAACAGGAUUAGAUACCCUUGUAGUC